AGCGAGUGUUUGUUUUUAGCACCGCCUUAAAUGAACUGAUCCGCGUGAAUGACUGAGUAGCCGUUGCGCCCUAAUCCACCGAACAUUACCAAUACAACAAACAAUCAAGCUUGUUUCUCAAUCUUUCUAAUAAGCUUGUUUCUCAAUCUUUCCGUCUUCUCAAUCUUUCUUCUCAAUCUUUCCGUCUUCUCAAUUUUUCUGUGUUCUCUUCUGAACAAACGACAAUAACGACAACUUUGUUUCGACCUCUCAUUUCACUCUAAUAAUCUUUUUCUCAAUCUUUGAUGUGUUCUGUUCUGAUGGACUCACCACAUUCAUCACCAUGAUCAUGCUCAACAAGCUGCUAGAGUGUUCAAGAACUGGUUCCUGGGUCAGGCGGAGUUUGAAGUGUGGAGAGUGAUUCGGUUGAUCGAAGAUGACGCAAACAAUGGAAAUUAAAACAUUAAUGGAUGAAAUUAUUGAGCUUGGUGAGAUGCGAUUAGAACUGUUUCGUCUCACCAAAAACACUCAAGAAGCCAUGCAUGCUGAAAGAAAGAGGAAAAUCGCAAUCUUGAUGUCAAUUAGAUGAUAACUAACAACUUUUUAUUCAUUUCAAUUGAUUCUGUUAGACUUGUUGGUCAAUGUCAGUUUUACUUGAUUGUCAGAGUCUUUGCAGGCAGUUACCACAACCUUGGUAUGCUCACAUCAUGAAUAUAUCAAAAUCAGUCUUAAAGUCAUUACAGCGCCUAAAGGAUCUCUUAUAACCAAUGUUCCAGGCUUCAAUGGAUCUCUACCUUCAAAGCACUAUGGAGGGUAUGUAACAAUAGAUGAAAGUCAUGGUAAGAACUUGUAUUACUAUUUUGUUCAAUCAGAAGGCGAUUCAUCAAAGGACCCUAUUGUUCUAUGGCUGAAUGGUGGACCAGGAUGUUCUAGUUUUGAUGGUUUUGUAUAUGAACAUGGUAAUAACUAUUUUUCACUAUCAUUUUCAUUUUGUAAUUGUUUCUCAAAUCAAAUAAAUGUAGAGUGAAAAUUCAUUUUAAUAUCCAAAACAAUUUUUUUGUAAUAUCUAAUCUAAUAUAUUAUAUAAACAAUGUGUUCCAUUGGUGAUGUGUUUCAGGUCCUUUUAAUUUUGACAAACCUGUCAAUGGAUCCUUGCCUAAGUUGCAUCUCAAUCCAUACAGUUGGUCCAAGUUUGGUCAUUUUUAAUAAUAAUAAUCAGAAAUUCAAUCUAUUAAAUUAGUAUUUGUAGUAUUUAAAAUAUAUGAUUUUAGUCUAAAUAUUAGACAACAUUUUGAAUCAUUUUUAAUGUGUUUUCUUGCAGGUUUCCAACAUUAUAUAUUUGGACUCACCCGUUGGAGUAGGAUUUUCGUAUUCGAAAAAUACAUCUCAGUACGAAACUGGAGAUGAAAAGACUGCGACUGAUUCACAUACUUUUCUCCUCAAAUGGUUUGAAUUAUAUCCUGAGUUUCUU